rnacentral:lncRNA from 1 species
CUGCAAAAAUAAUAAUAAAUAGUAGUUAAAUUUUACUGCUUUAGAGAAAAAUGAGUGAAUACAAUUUACAAUAAGGGUGCGUUUGGUUCGCACUAUGAAAAAUUACUAGCAAUAAAAAGAUGUCCGAAAAUCUUAUUUCUAUUCAUUCUAUUACUAAAAAUUAAUAUGACAUUCAUGUGCUUGGUUCGCACAGUCAUAUUAUUUAGUCAUGUUAUUUAAAUUUACAAAAAAUAUACAUUUUUUUUUUUAAUUAAUUUUAGAUAAUGCUACUAAAAAUUUCAACAUCUUUCUAAGAAAAAGGAAGAGAGAACAUGGAUUAGAGAGAGAGCAUAAUUAAAAAAAUAGGAAGAGAAAUAAAGUCAAGAUUGGAGGGAGUGAGAGAGUUGAGAUUUUAGAAAAAUAGGGAGAGAGAGAGCUUAAUUUAGAGAGAGAAAAAGAGUUGAAGUUUAGAAAAAAAAAAGGUAAGUUUAGAGAGAGAUAUGAGGUUAGAGUGUAAAGAAAAUAAUACCAACUAGCCGGUGGGUAGGAAGAAAGAAAGAUAUUAGACAUAUUAUGAUUAUCCCAAUCCAUUAAUAUGAGGAUACUUACCUUUCCUCAAAGAAAGGAGAUUAGUACUUUGGGAUGAAUCUUAUUCCCAAGUAAAUUCAAUAUUACUAACUAGAUUACUUAAUGUGUUUAGCCAAAUACCGUCAUAUUUUUUUAUUUCAAUUGGAUUACUAUAAAUCUUAAAAAGAUAGUGCGAACCAAACUCACCGUAAUUGUUAUGUUCCUAUCAAAUAAAAGCCUAUGUUAACAUUGACUAGGAUAAAUAAAUGUUGGCUAAUAUAAGAAUUCAUCAAAUGCAUGCAUGCCAAUAUUAACUUUUUCUAAAAGAGGUUCUCCGACAAGGAUAAAGAGGUUCUCCAACAACAAGGAUAAAGAGGCUCUCCAACUAAAGAAAGAGUUUUAUUUAGUUGUAAACUAUGUCAACCACUCUUUUACUUUGUGACUAUUUUUCCCACUUUUAUAUACACAAUUCCACCUUUUUAAAUUCUCUCUCUCUCUCUCUCUCUCUAUAUAUAUAUAGCUAGGCUUCUAUACUUUCGAAAGUUCAGAGGCCUCCGUACUUGUAAGUUGUUUUCAAUGAUAGGACGUCCGAUUCGGCGAUCUGUUCCGUUAAACAUGAUCUACUCUAUUGGAACUAUUUAGAAACUAAAUUUCAUAAUUUUUUGACUUCGUUUGCCUAGUAAACUAGUAACCUCAAAAUGAACGGCUGAAAAUAAAAAUAUCAUAAAAAACAGUGAUAAAUAAUUCAAAUUUCAAAUCGGAAGUNAUCAUAAAAAACAGUGAUAAAUAAUUCAAAUUUCAAAUCGGAAGUAUUGUUCUUACUCUUGAUAUUAAGUAGAAUUUUCUAUUAAAGUUUCAUAUAAUUUGGAUACUUCUACACCGUUAAACUUAAAAACGUGCCACAUCGGCCGUUAAAAUAGUCAUUUUUGAAACUCUGUGAUCGCUUGGUAAAUGAUAGUUCCAAUAGCAUAGAUAUUAUGCCUAACAGAGCCGAUCGUCGAAUCGGAUGUCCUAUCAUCGAAAACAACUUACAAGUACGGAGGCCUCCGUACUUUCGAAAGUAUGAAAGACGUGUAUAUA